rnacentral:rRNA from 1 species
UACGGAAUGUGCAAACGUUAUUCGGAAUUACUGGGCUUAAAGAGUUCGUAGGCGGCUUGAAAAGUAGGGUGUGAAAGCCCUCGGCUCAACCGAGGAAUUGCGCUCUAAACUGUCGUGCUCGAGGAAUCUAGAGGUGAGCGGAACUGAUGGUGGAGCGGUGAAAUGCGUUGAUAUCAUCAGGAACACCGGAGGCGAAGGCGGCUCACUGGGGAGUUUCUGACGCUGAGGAACGAAAGCCAGGGGAGCGAACGGG